CUCACCUGGACCUAUCACUUCAUUCCCCUCAAUCAAUCAGGCGGCGUGCAUUCCUACCCAAGAAGAAAGAUCCCAGACCGCUGUAUCUCUCCUUUCUGCCUGUCAUUAACUACCCACGAGAGCUCUUUCUCUUUUUCCCUCCUUCUCUUCCUUAGAGACGGAACCUAGGCCCAAGACGGUGAAUUGGCGCCGAGAAACCAGACACAGCCACCCAGCCAGCUCCAGCUCCAACGCCACGGUCUCUGCCCCCGCACCCACCCGCGUCCCUCCCAGGCAGCGACCGGAGCUCAUGCUUCGGCCUGACCAGGACUCCCCAUCCGGGGAGAGCCAUCGCUCACUGACCCAGGAAGGUGUCAAACGAGGAAGUAGCAGCAGUAACAGAUCUACAGAUGAAGAAAGUGAGGGCACGGAGUUGUUCAGCGCAAGGGAAUAGAUACCAGGUGUUGAAUCCAGGCUCUCCUACUUACUAGUUGUGUGACCUUACUCCUCUGAAUUUCAGCCUGUUCACAUGCAAAGUGGUGGUAAUAAUACCUUACACAGGUAUUGUGAGGAUUAAAUGAAGCCUGUGGUUAGCACAGUGCCUGGUACAUAGGAAACAACCAGUAAAUGGUCGUCAUUAUUACUAUGUAUUAUAGGACCCAGGUUUUCUGACCUAUACUAUGCCUUUUCUGCUGUGUCCCCCUACAGAAAUUCACCACAGAAUUUCUCAGAGCCUCAGUAUUAGGUUGGACAGAAAGUAACAACCACCAGACUAUCCCCAACCUGACGCUUUCACCAGUUUUGGAUGAAGUUCAUGCAAUUACAAUAACCAGUUCUAUAACAUGGCUUCAGAAACUUAUCAGAAUUCCAGAGGCUUUUAUCUGCCAUCACGAAAUGAGCCUAAAGGCAUUUUUUUUUUGGUUAGGUCCACUAAAACUUUCUGCCAUGAUGCAAAUGUUAUCCUGUGCUGUCUGUACAGUACCCACUAGCUACAUGGAGCCAUUGAGCACUUGAAAUAUGCCUCAUCAAGACCACCCUGUACCAGAGAGUCCUGAAUAUGCAUUGUACCUGGUAAGCAUUCAGUAAGGGUAGCUGAAUAGAUUUCACAACCAAAUGAAAGACCAGAUUUCAAACAUUUUAUGACAGAGGAUGAGGAAGGGAAGAGGUACUGUGUUGUCUGAGUGGUUAAACCUGUCAGUUCCUUUCCUCUGGUCCUCAUAGUGUCGGUCCUUGAACUAAUAGAAAUCAUCAUUUUUGUCAUUGCAUCCUUAGAAAUGGUAUGAAAUCUUAGGAGCAGCAA
rnacentral:lncRNA from 1 species